rnacentral:rRNA from 1 species
AUUGAACGCUGGCGGCAGGCCUAACACAUGCAAGUCGAGCGGAUGAAGGGAGCUUGCUCCUGGUUUCAGCGGCGGACGGGUGAGUAAUGCCUAGGAAUCUGCCUGGUAGUGGGGGAUAACGUCCGGAAACGGGCGCUAAUACCGCAUACGCCCUGAGGGAGAAAGUGGGGGAUCUUCGGACCUCACGCUAUCAGAUGAGCCUAGGUCGGAUUAGCUAGUUGGUGGGGUAAAGGCCUACCAAGGCGACGAUCCGUAACUGGUCUGAGAGGAUGAUCAGUCACACUGGAACUGGGACACGCUCCAGACUACUACGAGAAGCAGCAGGCGGGAAUAUUAGACCGUUGGCGAUAGUCUGAUCCAACGGUGCCGCGUGUGUGAAGAAAGUCUUCUGAUUGUGAAGCAGUUUCAGUUGGGAGAAAGUGCAGUAAGUUAUUACCUUGCUGUUUUGACGUUACCAGCAGAAUAAGCACCGGCUAACUUCGUG